rnacentral:lncRNA from 1 species
UGAGAACAACGUCGGGUCAAUCCAAACCUGAAAUAUUUGUUUUCCAUAUGGAAACUUCCUACCUCAUGAGUCAUCACCAUCCUAUAGGGUUUUGAAAUGACCGUAAUAUCCUCAUAUAUGUCAAAAUCACAUUCCAAUUCUAAUUAAUAACCCGACACUACAUACAAAGGACUUGAAAGACCAGAAUAACCUUUACUUUCCCCAAAAUUCCAUACAAAACCGACUUAAGACGUGAAGUUCCAAAAAUAGCCUAAAAACCCACGUUAAAAGAUCAUAAUAACCUUGACCUCAUCUUAUAAUAUCAUCCGUCCUAUAAAAUGACACUAAAAUACCAUAAACAUACCCAAAAACAUUGGGAAAAGACCAAAGAAGAACGAGUAAAGGCGACCUGGCACCUCCUGAAGAAGAACGGUGACUAGGCUUUUUAAAAUAGAGAGGAAACAGGCGGCAGAAGGAAGGGGGAAGAGAAGAAAAGAGGAAAGGAAAAGAAAGAGGGAGCUACCGUAAAGGCCUAGGCCGGCGAAGGCUAAGGCGACGGCAUCGGGGACCGACAAAGGGAGAGAUGGUUGCGAGAAAGGGUGUUGGUUGCUACUCUGCUAUGGUUAGCGAGAGAAAAAGAGAGAAAGAUGAAUAACAGGGAAAGGGGUUGGCUGCCAACGUCAGGUUAAGAUUUUAUCUGAAGAUAAAACUACGUCGUUUUACUUGAUACAAAAAAAGUGGGUUGGAUCCAACCAAGCCCAACCCGGAUUAGCUUUAGGCUUUAGCGUAUCUGGGUCAAACCCAACAAGAUAUUUUUUAACUCAUUGUUUUAUCUUUUAAUUGUUUAUUUUAUUUACGUAAUUUUUAUUUUUAUGGACGAAUUAAAUUUAUCAAAUUACUUUAAAAAAUAAAUAAAAAUAAAAAAUUUAAUUUAAUAAAUUUAAUAAGUACUUUCUAAAAUUGUUGGGCAAUCCCAAGAUUAUUUUCACAAGGUGCAUUAAUUCUAAAUAAUUACAAAGACAUGGGAUAAAAAAAUGUUGAUGAAAGUUGAAGUAAGAUUUUAUUAAUAUUAACAUAUAUUAAGAUAUAAAAUAUCAAAUCUUUGCAAAAAUUAAAAAUUACUUAAAUAAUAAAUUUUAAUCCACACAAAAAAAUAAAAUAUUAGUAUUUUAAAUUAUUAUCUUUAAUUUAUAUUACUACUAUUAUUUAUAAUAUUUUUAAAUUUAAUAUUUUUUAUUGUUAUUACUUUUAUUUAUAAUAUUAUAUAAUUUAAAAUUAUUUUUUAUCAUAAAUAUUUGGAAAAAAAGAAUGACAGCCACUCAAAGCGAGGCACCACUUUGGUUUAUUAUUAAAAUGGUAAAUAUUGAUAAUUUAUUAUUUAAUAUAUUAGUAAGUUAUUAUUAAAAUAUUUGUAGUUUUCUAAGGAAAUAGUAAUACGAUUUUAUCUAAAUGUAAAUUAAUAUGAUUAUUAUUUUAGACAUAAUAUUUAAAAAAAGUUAUUAAACAAUUAAAAAAAUUCAAACAAAUCUUUAUACUUUUAUUACGUUCAAUCAAAUUCUUAUAUUUUUUAUUUUAAGUUAAAUAAAUUUUAAUAUUUUUUAUUUUAAAUUAAAUAAUAUUUUAUAUUUAAUGAUUGAUUUAAUUAAAAUAUUAUUUAUCAUUUUAUAUUAUGUGACGAUGAUGUAACAUGCUAAUAUGUUAUAAUUGAUAAUGAUAUGAUAUAUUGACAUAUCAUAAUUAAUGAUGCUAUGAUAUAAUUAUAUAACAUGAUAAUAUAGUUAUUGAUAUUUUUUACUAUUCACAUCAGUGAAUGACAAGUGACAUUUUGAGUAAUAACAAUUAAUCAACUAUUUGUAAUAAAAGCUUACUUAACAUAAAAUAAAAAUAUAAAGAUUUAAUUGAACGUAAUAGAAGAAUAAGAAUUUUAUUUGAAUAUUUUUUAAUAAUUUAAAAACUUUUUUUAGCAUUAUGUCAUUAUUUUAUCUUUAUUUUCAUUUUUUCUAGUUUUUCUCAUUUAAUGUUGUUUUUAUUAGAAUAAUAUUAAAAUAUUAAUAAUAUAAUAUAUUAUUAAUAAUAAAAUAUUAUUAAAAAUCAUAAUUUAAUACUUUAUUAUUUAAAUAUUAAUAUUUUAGUAUUAAUAUAUUAAUAAUUAAUUACUGAAAUGUUAUUAAUUUAUUAUUAAAAUAUUAAUAUGUUUUUGUUUUGAUAUGUUGUUGCUUUUUCAAUAUUUUAAUUUUUCUUUUUUCCCUUUUAAAUUCUUUUUAUUAAAAUAAUAAUAAUAAUAAUUUAAUAAUUUAUCAUUAAAAUAUUAAACUGAUAUUUUAUAUAGUAAGGUUAGUAAUUCAAUUUGAUUAGGUUGGUGUGGAAUGAGAUAUUUGAAUGCAAUUUAAAAUUUUUAAUUUCAUUUUAGCCGGGUUUGAAUGUUAAUGUGCAGUGGAGAUAAAGUUGUAUAGGAACGAAAUUCUCUUCAAAUUGAGUGGUGGGAGAAUGGCUAUGUUAUUUUUUCUUUUUUGAAACGAGAACGGUUGUGUUAUUAACUAUCUGUCACAUGAUUAACUAGCUAGAUUAUAUUGUGCGUCAGUGAAUAUAUCUAGACAUCUUAAGCCCAAAUUCUUUAUAUAUUACAGGAUUAUUUUUCUUGUUGAUGUUCUUUAUGUACUUAAUAGGCCACUAAACUAUGUCUUAGUUAAUGGCUAUGAG